AUACGGUUCUCAAAGUUCUUCUAUAUUUUGGCAUGUGAGAGUAUUUCCUUAUGUGGAUGAAUAACAUUCCUAUUGUAUGCAUAUUCCCAGUUGCUUUGUUCAAUUUUUGGGCACUUAGGUUUCACUUACCUUUUGGCUAUUGUGAACAAUGGUGCAAUGAAUGAGUAUGUAAAUGUUUCUGAGAUCCUUUUAAUUUUCCCACUCCCCCAAACCUUGACUGAAUGUCUCAGCUUGACUUACUCUGUUUGCAGUGAUGAUGAUGAUGAUUUUGAAGAUGAGGAAACAGAAGAAAAGGCUCCAGUGAAGAAAUCUAUACGAGAUACUCCUGGCAAAAAUGCUCAAAAAUCAAACCAGAACGGAAAAGACUCAAAACCAUCAACACCAAGAUCAAAAGGUCAAGAAUCAUUCAAAAAA